AGAUGCAGGGGCCAUGGCACUCUUAACACCCCAGGGAGUGAAAGAAGUCUUCCAAUUUCAGAGAUCACAAGGUCGGGAGCGCCUGCGGAGGCUUCUGAACUGGGAGGAGUUUGACGAACAGAGAGACUCCCGGAGGAGCAUCCUGCUGGACACCCUCUACGAGAGCAUCAUCUUUGCAGUGGGCAAAGGCUUCCCAUGGGUGGAGGUGGCCCAGGUGGUCAAGUUCACAGAAGAGCUGCUAAGGGAAACCAAAGAAACUACUACUGACUUCUAACAUCAUAGUUGGGCCAGUUUUAAUAAAUGGAAUAAAAAAGACAAAGAAAAAGAAUGCUGAUGCCCAGAGAGGCAAAAUAACUUGUGCAAGUGAUGAAGUUGUGCAGCCUGAGGUUAGCCGCAUCUGCCUGAAUCCCCAGUCUGUGCUCAUACCAUACAUACCCUACUGCCCCUGACAGAG
rnacentral:sRNA from 1 species